rnacentral:lncRNA from 1 species
CACCCGGAGCCAGCGCGUGCAGGCUGGUUCCGCCCCCCCUUCCUUGCCCCCCACGCGCGCCAGCCGGCGGCUUUUAAAUCUCCAGAGACCAGAUACCCAGCUGCAUCUGGUUGGCCUCACGGAAGCCUGAGAAGUCAUGAAGGACCUGGAGCUCCCUUGCUGUUCCCAUCUCUUGCCAUCUCCAUCAUCCAGGGCCGGUGGUCCACUUUGAGAUGUCUGUGCUGUCUGCCUCAGGAUGAGGGGCUGACUCUCUGACUUCAAGAUAGGAAUAAAAGGAGGAGGAGUCUGCUACACCCACCAUCAAGUGCGCUCACAGUAUUUACUCAACCAGUGACAAGGAGGGCCAAACAAGAGGAAAAAUCCUAGAACUGCAGCAAGACAGAUGGGAAUCACACUAGAGGAGGGACUUCCCAGGGCAUCUGAGGUAAGGUGUAAAAUCUCUGCCUUCUCCUCCCUAAAUGUCCCCACAACUGAGUCCAGUGCAAUACAGCCUGAAGAUGAUAGAUGGGUGAGAUGGCAUAUGGAAGCCCCAUUGCAGGCCUCUGAUGAUGGGGGUCCUCCUGGCUGAGUAGCUUUUCCCAUUCUGGAAGGGAUGUCCUGAAUGUGCUAGGAGUUGUGAGAGAUGACUGGAAUUCCAGUAACUUUUGGCAGGAUUUACUACUGUAUCUGGAUCUUUGGGAUUGAGAGAGGAGCAAGAAGCUGACACUGCCUACUGCAAGUGGCUAUAAAGCCAUUCUCACGGUCCUGAUGCAAUGCUCAAGAUAAAAAGCAAGUGAGUAAUUAAUAACUAGGUUGUGAACUAACCUCUUGCUCCAAGGCAUAGUACCAUUUUGCACAAUCCAUCCAGGCCUGCGGGAAGGAGAGACACUGGCCUGAGUCCAGGUGUCUGAGCAGGAACACCAGCCCCAGACUCCAAAUGAAGCUCCAGAGGAACAGAAGGAGUUGGUGGGAAGGGCCCCUCUGCUGGGCUUCAGGGCCAGAAAAGGGAGAAGGAACAAACACAAGUAGUGGCAGAGCACCAUCCAGUCAUGUUGGCCAAAUGAUGCCUCCUUUGUUCAGUAAGAAGUGAAGAGAGAAUGCUAGAACCGCAGCCGGGCGUGGUGGUUCACGCCUGUAUCCCAGCACUUUGGGAAGC